UACGGUAAUAAAUGGUUUCCGUUUAGGAAGUUAACAACUUCCCCAGGAUGGAGAAAGCUGAGUAUAUAAGGCGAUGCACACGACCAUUAGUCAUCAAUCAGCUUCCAUUCUUUUCAGCUUUUCAAGUUCUUCGAACCUGAAAUAGUUCCAGAACAUAAUGGCCUCAUCACAGAAAAUCAUUUUCAUCUGCGUCUGCCUUUUGCUAUCCUCAUGUGGAAUUAUUGUAGAAGCUGGAGGUAUGAUGGGAGGAAUGUUUGGUGGUGGUCAUCAUGGUCAUGGGGGUCAUGGUGCAGUAGAAGCUCUUCUCGCUGCCGGUCUUCUAGCUAAACUUCUUCGCAAGCACCAUCAUGGUCAUCAUGGACAUCAUGGACAUCAUGGGCAUGGACAUGGACUUUGCUUUAGACCUCGCUGAAGGAUACGACAAUGCAGAGGCUUUGUCACUUGCACCACUGAUCACGGUCUUUAUGGACAUGGUUACAGUGGCUGGUAGAAUUUCAUAAUGUCGAGAGAGUUUGAGCCAAGCCUGAGGAGGUUCUGCAGUUGUAAAAAUGUACAUUUGUAUUAUAAGUUCAUUGUUUUGUAAAUAAAGUUUUGUUUAUUUAUAUA